GAUGAACGCUGGCGGCGUGCCUAAUACAUGCAAGUCGAGCGAACAGACGAGGAGCUUGCUCCUCUGACGUUAGCGGCGGACGGGUGAGUAACACGUGGAUAACCUACCUAUAAGACUGGGAUAACUUCGGGAAACCGGAGCUAAUACCGGAUAAUAUAUUGAACCGCAUGGUUCAAUAGUGAAAGACGGUUUUGCUGCCACUUAUAGAUGGAUCCGCGCCGCAUUAGCUAGUUGGUAAGGUAACGGCUUACCAAGGCAACGAUGCGUAGCCGACCUGAGAGGGUGAUCGGCCACACUGGAACUGAGACACGGUCCAGACUCCUACGGGAGGCAGCAGUAGGGAAUCUUCCGCAAUGGGCGAAAGCUUGACGGAGCAACGCCGCGUGAGUGAUGAAGGUCUUCGGAUCGUAAAACUCUGUUAUUAGGGAAGAACAAAUGUGUAAGUAACUAUGCACGUCUUGACGGUACCUAAUCAGAAAGCCACGGCUAACUACGU
rnacentral:rRNA from 1 species